UGUAAAUGGGAAUGAGUAUACCACAGGUUACUACCUUGCUGAUGGUAUAUACCCAGAGUGGGCUGCCUUCAUGAAGACUAUACCACUUCCCCAAACAGAGGAGCACAAGUUGUUUGCCCAGUUCCAAGAAGCGGCGAGGAAAGAUGUGGAGCGUGCUUUCGGGGUAUUGCAGUCCCGUUUUACCGUUGUCCGCGGCCUGCACGUCUAUGGAAGAGAAAGAGUGUUGGAAGGAUCAUGCUAGCUUGUGUUAUUCUUCACAAUAUGAUAGUCGAAGAUGAGAAAGAGCAGGCUGCCAUUCAUAUUGACUUGAAUGAGAAUCCAGGAGCAUCAAUUGCUCUACCUCCUGAAGUUAAUGUUGGUGGUAAUCUAUGUUUCGCUGAUGUGCUGCAUAGAAAAGCCAAAAUCCGUGCUCCUCCACAACAUACCCAACUUAAAAAUGAUUUGAUUGAGCAUAUUUGGCAUAAGUUUCGAAAUAACCAUCAUAAUUAGUCAUGGACUAUGCCAUGAUGUGGUGAUUGCUGCAGGUUCUACCUACAGUGGCUGAAGGUUGUUGCUGUUGUUGUUCCUUUCUACCGAUGCUCCAACUAUGGCUUUGUGGCUUUAUCAUCUUCAAGAUCAAAUUGAUGUCUUGUUUGUUGGACACUGUAUCUGUUAUUUUGUUUGGUUCAUGCUUUUUUCUAAAGAGUCAUGUACUGUUUAAUUGUCAAUGUCAUGGUGCUAAGUAUUAUGUUUGGAUAUACUCAAUGUUGAAGAGUUGGUAUGGUCUAUGAAACAUAUGUUUGUUUUUUCUUAUGAAUCAGUUUGCCUUGUUAUA